UGUCAUCUUUCCAGGCGCUGCGGAUGC
rnacentral:sRNA from 1 species